rnacentral:lncRNA from 12 species
CCCCCCCCCCCCCCCCCCCCCCCCCCCCCCCCCCCCCCCCCCCCCCCCCCCCCCCCCCCCCACUGGGAGUGCACCAGAAUGGACUGGGAGUGCACUGGGAUGGAUUGGGAUGCACUGGGAGUGCACCAGAAUGGACUGGGAGUGCACUGGGAUGGACUGGGAUGCACUGGGAGUGCACUAGAAUGGACUGGGGAGCACUGGGAUGGACUGGGAUGAACUGGAGAUGCACCAGCAUGGACUGGGAGUGCACUGGCAUGGACUGGGAGUGCACCGGGAUGGAUUGGAAUGAACUCGGUGUGCACCAGAAUGGACUGGGAUGGACUGGACGUGCACUGGGAUGAACUGGAAUGAACAGGGAGUGCACUGGGAUGGACUGGGAUGGAAUGGGAGAGCACUGGAAGUGCACUGGGAUGGACUGAGAUGCACUGGGAGUGCACUGGGAUGGAUUGGAAUGAAAUGGGAGUGCACCACGAUGGACUGGGAGUGCACUGGGAUGAACUGGAAAGGACUGGGAGUGCACUGGGAUGAACUGGGAGUGCACCAGGGUAAACUGGGAGUGCACUGGGUGGACUGGGAUGAACUGGGGGUGCACUGGGGUGGACUGGGAGUGCAGCACUGUGAACUGUGAGAGCACCAGGAUGAACUGGUGAGCCCUGGAAUGAACUGGGAGUGCACUGGGAUGAACUGGAAGCGCACCAGUACAGACUGGAAUGAAGGAGGAUCAACUCGGAUGGACUGGGAAUGCACUGGGAUGGACUGGGGUGCACUGGGACGGACUGGGAGUGCACCAGCAUGAACUGGAUCAACUGGGAGUGCACCUAAAUGACCUGGCGGUGCUCAAGGACAAACUGGGGGGC